GAGCUUAUAGUCAAUAAUGAUUUUAAAUUGCAAAUUUAAAGGUAAAUUUUAAUUUUGAGUUCU
rnacentral:tRNA from 1 species